AUGGAGCUCUUACGACAGAGAUUUGAAAUUGGCAUCUCUUCUGACCCCCGAGUCUUCGAGCGUCCUGGGCGUUUGGGUUUCGAGCUGCAGAUUUUGAGCUUGGCGUAGAGUUUGGGGAACGAGGGACUUGAAAAAUAGUAUACAAGGGGAUCCAGCAUGCUGUUCAGAGCCCAUGGAGCCCAACGCAUGGGAUGGAGAAAAUACACAGGCGGUACAUUCUACAUCAAUGACCGAGUGAGCAAGGGACUGUAGACCCAGCCCAUGUGCGCAUGUUGCCCUGGCUGAGAGAAGACCCUACUGGUGUCUUUGGCCCAGGGCUUAAAGCUGGAGGAAAGUUCUCCUCAGUGGGGAAGCAAGGGUUGCCUCACAGUGUGGUCAUGUGCCACCCUGGCCUGUACUGAAGGAAGUUCCUGACAUUUCAAAAGAAACUGAAAACUACAAAAAAGAAGAAGAAGCAGCCUAUCAAAGAUGGAUUCUUUGAAUAUAUGAAAUGUUAAAAAGUUUUAAAAGA